rnacentral:rRNA from 1 species
GACGAACGCUGGCGGCGUGCUUAACACAUGCAAGUCGAACGGAAAGGCCCUGCUUUUGUGGGGUGCUCGAGUGGCGAACGGGUGAGUAACACGUGAGUAACCUGCCCUUGACUUUGGGAUAACUUCAGGAAACUGGGGCUAAUACCGGAUAGGAGCUCCUGCUGCAUGGUGGGGGUUGGAAAGUUUCGGCGGUUGGGGAUGGACUCGCGGCUUAUCAGCUUGUUGGUGGGGUAGUGGCUUACCAAGGCUUUGACGGGUAGCCGGCCUGAGAGGGUGACCGGCCACAUUGGGACUGAGAUACGGCCCAGACUCCUACGGGAGGCAGCGGUGGGGAAGAUUACACAAUGGGCGGAAGCCUGAUGCAGCAACGCCGCGUGCGGGAUGACGGCCUUCGGGUUGUAAACCGCUUUCGCCUGUGACGAAGCGUGAGUGACGGUAAUGGGUAAAGAAGCACCGGCUAACUACGUG